UACGAGGGGGGCAAGUGUUGUUCGGAAUCACUGGGCGUAAAGGGAGCGUAGGCGGAUGUUUAAGUCGGGUGUUUAAAACCGGGGCCCAACCCCGGAGCGGCACCCGAAACUGGGCAUCUUGAAUAGGUCAGAGGCUGGUGGAAUUGGAGGUGUAGCGGUGGAAUGCGUAGAGAUCUCCAAGAACACCUAUUGCGAAGGCAGCCAGCUGGGACCAUAUUGACGCUGAGGCUCGAAAUCAUGGGGAGCAAACAGG
rnacentral:rRNA from 1 species